rnacentral:rRNA from 1 species
GCCGACCCAGCUUCGUUGGCCAAGCUGGCUCGGCCAGUUGGGUCAGGUGCGGGGCGCAGCAGGAGGGGAAGAGAAGGAGCGAGAACGCUGGCUUUAGCGGCGGCGGCAGCGGCGGGUUGGGGCCGGCGGAGGCCACCAAAGACGGCGGCAGCGGAUCGCGCUUGCUGCGUGGAUCGGCGUGAAAUAGUAGAGGAGGAGAAUCUAAAAGGCCCGCGGAGGAGCACGCCGACACGGGAUGGGGCGUACCCUCGAUCCCAAACGCGGGGAGCAGCCUCAACUUGAGGCCGCCGGCAGGACCACGAGCCCACCAGUACCAGCGGCGGGGGCGGGGGCGGGAUUGGCGGCGCCUGCGCUCCGUCCGGCGCCGCUCCUUCCUCCUCCUCCUGCUGCUCCUCCAGCAGACGAAGUAGACGAAGCUGCCCCCUCUGGAGCAGCAGACGCUAACCUCCACGCUGCGGCGUCACGCGCUGAAGAAGGUGCGGACCUACCAGUAACUCGCGCGGGGAGGACUAACGUCAGUCACGGCGGCGGCAGAGGUUCGACGUCUCAGGGCAAGGAAAGGCGGGAACGGUGUGUACGACGGUAGACUUUUUCGUAAAAUACGACGACAUAGAAGGGAACCGUAGAUGUCGUUUCUACAAAUGCUACCCUUCCCCGAUAAAUCGCGGCGAGCACAAACCACCUACAAAGCACGAAUACCUGUACUGUUUCAGACCCAAAACCUACCUCCAAACGGGGUCACCGCACGAAGACCCAUACCGCACCUUAGUUCACGGAGGUCGCUACGAUAGAAUUUUCGAUCACGACGAUCACUUCGUUAGCUCUUCCAAAUGGUCCCCGUCAGCCUGUACCUAUCUCCUCUAAUAAAACUUAAUUCAAACCCGUUUUUUCUGGACCUGUCUAGUUUCUUUAUGUAGGUCUGCAACGUCCCACCUGAUUCAUGGGAACUGCAGAUCCUUCCUCUGCGUGACCCGUAGCCGCACGAACGGCUGCUCGUGCCCCCCGGAUCAGGUCACUCUUCCGCACGCCACGUCACGAGCACCGGACGAGAUGUAGGUCGUUACUCCACACGACCGCCUCGUCGUCCUACCCGCUCCGCACUCUAAUCCUAGUCAUC